rnacentral:lncRNA from 1 species
CUUCCAGAUUGGUCUGGCAGAUCGCACAGACGAAGCAAGUGUCAUGCCAGCUGAAGCCCAGUGCCUCCAGGAACCGGUCCCCAGCAUCGAUCUUGAAGUCACAGCCACGGCACUUGGUGCCAAACAUCUUCUCAUAGUCUCUCUCGCAGUAGGGCUGUCCCUCCUCCAUGUAGAAGGCACGGUUGCGGAUGGGAGUUUUGCAGGCUGCACAGGUGAAGCACUGCACGUGCCAGGUCAUCUUGAGUGCAUGCAUGACCUCCCCGGUGAUCUUCUUCUUGCAUUUAGCACAGCUGGGCGCAUAGCGCGUGUCGUAGCACUUGGGGCAGAAGAUGGAGCCCUUUUCCUCGAAGAAACCACCCUCAUCCAGCACCUUCCUGCACUGGCAGCAGGUGAACUCCUCGGGGUGGUAAUAAUGUCCCAGUGCCACGAGGUAGCGUCCCCUGAUGAUCUUGUUGCACUUGUAACAGAGGGGUGUACGGCCGGGGCCCUCAGGUGCCUGCUGGGCUGCCUGCACGAUGGAGCUGCGGUUCUGCAUGGGGGUCGGCGUGGCCGGCUGGCUGUGCUUGCUCAGCACCGUGCUCGUCUUGUCUGGGGCGUAGCGCUCAGCAAAUGAGGGGUCCACAGCCCAGGGCGGGCGGCUGGUAGGGCCAGGGGUGGCAGCAGGGGUCCUGGGGGCCAAUCCUGGUUCUGUCUUCAUUGCUGCUCCCGGGGAUGGGUCCGGUACGGAGACCUGGCCAUUGUGCUGGGGGGUGCAGGCGGGCGCCAGGGGCACGUACGUCACGGGUUUCGUCACCAGCCCAGGCCGUGGGUUCGGAGGUGAGCUGGCCCCAAAGGGCCGAGCUGUUUUGUUGAGGGCGGUGCUGGGAGCGAAGUUAUAUUUCGGGGGCUCAGAGCAGGGGAGUGAGUCCUUCUGCGGCUUCCCCAGGUGGUUCUGGGCUCUGCUCAGGGUGAGGCAGAGCCUGUCCCCGCAGGCGCGGAUCCUGUUCUGGGCCUCGAUGUGUGUCAUGGUGCCGGUGCUCUCCCCGUCGAUGUACAGCACCCAGUCGCCCACUCCCACGCCGGCCUGGGCAGCCUUUCCACCUGGAGUCAGCCUGGAGAUGGAGAGCGGCAUGCUGAAG